rnacentral:rRNA from 1 species
CAGACUGGAACUGAGACACGGUCCAGACUCCUACGGGAGGCAGCAGUGAGGAAUCUUCCACAAUGGGCGAAAGCCUGAUGGAGCAACGCCGCGUGCAGGACGAAGGCCUUCGGGUUGUAAACUGCUUUUAUAAGUGAGGAAUAUGACGGUAACUUAUGAAUAAGGAUCGGCUAACUACGUGCCAGCAGCCGCGGUCAUACGUAGGAUCCGAGCGUUAUCCGGAGUGACUGGGCGUAAAGAGUUGCGUAGGCGGUUGUAUAAGUGAAUAGUGAAAUCUGGUGGCUCAACCAUACAGGCUAUUAUUCAAACUGUACAACUCGAGAGUGGUAGAGGUCACUGGAAUUUCUUGUGUAGGAGUGAAAUCCGUAGAUAUAAGAAGGAACACCGAUGGCGUAGGCAGGUGACUGGACCAUUUCUGACGCUAAGGCACGAAAGCGUGGGGAGCGAACCGGAUUAGAUACCCGGGUAGUCCACGCCGUAAACGAUGGAUACUGGCUGUUGGAGGUAUCGACCCCUUCAGUAGCGAAGCUAACGCGUUAAGUAUCCCGCCUGUGGAGUACGGCCGCAAGGCUAAAACAUAAAGGAAUUGACGGGGACCCGCACAAGCGGUGGAUCGUGUUCUUUAAUUCGAUGCUAAACGAAGAACCUUACCAGGGCUUGACAUCCAGGGAAUUUUUGGGAAACCAAUUAGUGCCGUUUGGAACCCUGUGACAGGUGAUGCAUGGCCGUCGUCAGCUCGUGUCGUGAGAUGUUUGGUUAAGUCCAUCAACGAGCGCAACCCUUGUGUCUAGUUGUAUUUUUCUAGACAGACUGCUUCGGUAACGGAGAGGAAGGAGGGGAUGAUGUCAGGUCAGUAUUUCCCUUACGUCCUGGGCUAGAAACACGAUACAAUGGCUAGUACAAUGCGCAGCGAAGCCGCGAGGUGAAGCAAAUCGCAUCAAAGCUAGUCCCAGUUCGGAUUGGAGGCUGAAACUCGCCUCCAUGAAGUCGGAAUCGCUAGUAAUCGCAAAUCAGCAAGUUGCGGUGAAUACGUUCCCGGGUCUUGUACACACCGCCCGUCAAACCAUGAAAGUGACCAACACCCGAAGUCCGAUUCGUCGGCCUAAGGUGGGGGGCAUGAUUGGGGUUAAGUCGUAACAAGGUAUCCGUACCGGAAGGUGCGGAUG